CCGAACCGACUAAUGUUGAAAAAUUAGCGGAUGACCUGUGGCUGGGGGUGAAAGGCCAAUCAAACCGGGAGAUAGCUGGUUCUCCCCGAAAGCUAUUUAGGUAGCGCCUCGUGAAUUCAUCUCCGGGGGUAGAGCACUGUUUCGGCUAGGGGGCCAUCCCGGCUUACCAACCCGAUGCAAACUGCGAAUACCGGAGAAUGUUAUCACGGGAGACACACGGCGGGUGCUAACGUCCGUCGUGAAGAGGGAAACAACCCAGACCGCCAGCUAAGGUCCCAAAGUCAUGGUUAAGUGGGAAACGAUGUGGGAAGGCCCAGACAGCCAGGAUGUUGGCUUAGAAGCAGCCAUCAUUUAAAGAAAGCGUAAUAGCUCACUGGUCGAGUCGGCCUGCGCGGAAGAUGUAACGGGGCUAAACCAUGCACCGAAGCUGCGGCAGCGACACUGUGUGUUGUUGGGUAGGGGAGCGUUCUGUAAGCCUGCGAAGGUGGCCUGUGAGGG
rnacentral:rRNA from 1 species